CCUCUGACGUUAGCGGCGGACGGGUGAGUAACACGUGAGUAACCUGCCUUAGACAUUGGGAUAGCCUCGGGAAACCGGGAUUAAUACCAAAUAAAAUCAUAAUGACACAUGUCAUAACGAUCAAAACUCCGGUGGUCUAAGAUGGACUCGCGUCCCAUUAGCUAGUUGGUAGAGUAAAAGCCUACCAAGGCGACGAUGGGUAGCCGGCCUGAGAGGGUGAACGGCCACAUUGGAACUGAGAAACGGUCCAA
rnacentral:rRNA from 1 species